ACGGAAGGCAGCAGUGGGGAAUAUUGGACAAUGGGGGAAACCCUGAUCCAGCGACGCCGCGUGAGUGAAGAAGUAUUUCGGUAUGUAAAGCUCUAUCAGCGGGGAAGAAAAUGACGGUACCUGACUAAGAAGCCCCGGCUAACUACGUGCCAGCAGCGCGGUAAUACGUAGGGGGCAAGCGUUAUCCGGAUUUACUGGGUGUAAAGGGAGCGUAGACGGCGAAGCAAGUCUGAAGUGAAAGCCCACGGCUCAACCGUGGAACUGCUUUGGAAACUGUUUUGCUAGAGUGCAGGAGGGGCAGGCGGAAUUCCUAGUGUAGCGGUGAAAUGCGUAGAUAUUAGGAGGAACACCGGUGGCGAAGGCGGCCUGCUGGACUGUAACUGACGUUGAGGCUCGAAAGCGUGGGGAGCAAACAGGAUUAGAUACCCUGGUA
rnacentral:rRNA from 1 species